rnacentral:rRNA from 1 species
UACGUAGGUCCCGAGCGUUGUCCGGAUUUAUUGGGCGUAAAGCGAGCGCAGGUGGUUUAUUAAGUCUGAUGUAAAAGGCAGUGGCUCAACCAUUGUAUGCAUUGGAAACUGGUAGACUUGAGUGCAGGAGAGGAGAGUGGAAUUCCAUGUGUAGCGGUGAAAUGCGUAGAUAUAUGGAGGAACACCGGUGGCGAAAGCGGCUCUCUGGCCUGUAACUGACACUGAGGCUCGAAAGCGUGGGGAACAAACAGG